GGGGGCGAAUUAGGUUCGACGUAGGUAGUCGGGUUUGAGUAGCGAGCAUGGGAGCCGUGCCCAUUAAAGCGGCAAGCAAAUAACUGCUAACACAAAUUACGCACUGGCUGCUUAAUUAAGCAACCACGGUACCAGGGAGAAAGCUUCCCUAUCUCUGAGUUACCGUCAUUAGGGAAGAUACCUGUAAGGGGAUGCUCGGGACCUUCCAGGGAAUCCAAUUCUGAGCUGGCGAGAGAAGAAGCCCGCUUCGGGGCGCCUUACCUUGCGAGACUAAAUCCGAAGCUACGCUCGUAGAGACUGAAACCGGGUUGCUUGCGGACGAGGGUGCAAUUCCCUCCGCCUCCACCA
rnacentral:tmRNA from 1 species